CAUUUUGGGGCAGUUUGGGGGAGUUUUGAGAACCUUUGGGACAAUUUUGGGGCAGUUUGGGAUAGUUUGGGGGAGUUUGGGGGAAAUUUGGGGAAACUUUGAGUCAAUUCGGGGCAGUUUUGGGCGAGUUUGGGGCAGUUUUGUGGUGGUUUGAGGGAGUUUGGGGCAGUUUUGUGUCACUUUGGGGGAGUUUUGGAAAACUUUGGGGCAGUUUGAGGAUCUGAAGCCCCCCCCUCAAUUAAUUCUCUCUCCACAGUGCCCCAGUGAUGGCAACACAGAAUGGCCAGCACAAUCCUGCACAGCCAGAAACCCGUGAUGGCGAGAAAAAAGAGGCCGCCCAGUACCCCUCGAACCCCCAGAAAAAUAAAUUAUCUGAGCAAUCCCACAGAGUCUGCAACUCAUUUUGGGGAGGGGGCACCCGAGGAAUUGAGGAGGGCAUCUCCUACCUUUUUACCGCUUGUUUUCUUCCCUGUUCCUUCCGUGUUUCUUGGCUCUUUUUCCACUCGUAGUUCUUGCUCUUUUCUCCCCUCACGCUUCCCGCCCUUUUUGUCCCCUCACGCUUCCCGCCCUUUUUGUCCCCUCACGCUUCCCGCUCUUUUUUCUCCUCACAAUUCCUGCUUUUUUUCCCCUCACAAUUUUGCUCUUUUUCCCCUCACAAUUCCUGCUUUUUUUCCCCUCACAAUUUUGUUCUUUUUCUCCUCACAAUUUUGCUCUAUUCCCCUCACAAUUUUGCUCUUUCUCCCCUCACAAUUUUGCUCUUUCUCCCCUCACAAUUUUACUCUUUUUCCCCUCACAAUUCCUGCUUUUUUUCCCCCUCACAAUUUUACUCUUUUCCCCCUCACAAUUCCUGCUUUUUUUCCCCUCACAAUUUUGCUCUUUUUCCCCUCACAAUUUUGCUCUUUCUCCCCUCACAAUUUUGCUCUUUUUCCCCUCACAAUUUUGCUUUUUCCCCUCACAAUUUUGCUUUUUCUCCCCUCACAAUUUUGCUCUAUUCCCCUCACAAUUUUGCUCUUUUUCCCCUCACAAUUUUGCUCUUUCUCCCCUCACAAUUUUGCUCUUUUCCCCCUCACAAUUUUACUCUUUUUCCCCUCACAAUUCCUGCUCUUUUUCCCCUCACAAUUUUGCUCUUUUUCCCCUCACAAUUUUGCUCUUUUCCCCCUCACAAUUUUGCUCUUUUCCCCUCACAAUUUUACUCUUUUCCCCUCACAAUUUUACUCUUUUUCCCCUCACAAUUCCUGCUUUUUUUCCCCUCACAAUUUUGCUCUUUCUCCCCUCACAAUUUUGCUCUUUUCCCCUCACAAUUUUACUCUUUUUCCCCUCACAAUUUUGCUCUUUUUCCCCUCACCUUCCUCUCCCUUUCCCCCUCAUUUUCCCUUCGUGUUCCCCCCUCACAUUUCUCCGUCGCACCCCAAAACAAGCUCCGUAAAUUCAACGCGUUUAAUUCUCCAGGUCAGGG
rnacentral:lncRNA from 1 species